UAAGGAAUAUUGGUCAAUGGAGGGAACUCUGAACCAGCCAUGCCGCGUGCAGGAAGACGGCCCUCUGGGUUGUAAACUGCUUUUAUUCGGGAAUAAACCACAUUACGUGUAGUGUGCUGAAUGUACCGAAGGAAUAAGGAUCGGCUAACUCCGUGCCAGCAGCCGCGGUAAUACGGAGGGUGCAAGCGUUAUCCGGAAUCAUUGGGUUUAAAGGGUCCGCAGGCGGUCUUAUAAGUCAGUGGUGAAAGCCUACAGCUCAACUGUAGAACUGCCAUUGAUACUGUAAGACUUGAAUUCGAUCGAAGUGGGCGGAAUAUGACAUGUAGCGGUGAAAUGCUUAGAUAUGUCACAGAACACCGAUUGCGAAGGCAGCUUACUAUGGUUUAAUUGACGCUGAGGCACGAAAGCGUGGGGAUCAAACA
rnacentral:rRNA from 1 species